rnacentral:lncRNA from 1 species
AUAAAACACAAGAGGCAGUGGGAUGCCAUGGAUGCAAAGCUGGGAAGACCCGGGUUCAAAUUGUAUUUCUGAGCUAUGGGAUGAUGAAUAAGUCACUUACUCUCUAAUCAGAGAAUCAAGAGAGGGAGAACUUAAAGGCUCUUAUAAGCCAUUUAGCCCAACCCGUUCAUUUUACUGAUGAGGCAACUGAGAUUCAUAGAAGUUAAGUGGCUUUUUCAAGGUCACACUGGGACCUUAUAGAAUUGGGAGUCCUGCUCAAGUCCUGAUGCUCCAAUCCUGAUGGUCUUUCCACCACACUGCACUACAGUGCCCCAAGCCACUCUCCAGGACAAGAAAUAUCAUGCGGGUUGUUCUUCUGUACUAGUGGAGAAACAGACCACCUGGAUGAAAUCUCAGAUUAGGACCAAAAAAGCGGACAGGCAGCUUCUCAUCAAUUGGUAUUUUUAAUUUUGUUUUUAUUUCAACUGUGUUGGGGGCAGAAUAAACACAGCAGUGAUUUUUAUUGGCCUAUAACUUUAGGAUCAUCCUACAUAAUGGAGUUUUAUGCAUCAAGUCUUCUCUGCACUUGGGGUUUACCCAUCAGUUCAGUGUUGUGAUUAACUGCUGGCUGGUAUCAGCUCUGUAAAAACUAACAGCUGACACUUAGAAAGAGCUUUAUUGUUGUAAAGUGCUUUGUAUUUGCUUAUUCCCAUCUUCUCCCUGCGCAUGUAAGGUAGGUCAUGCACAUAUUAUUAUUUUUAUUUUACAUAGAAGUAAACUGAGGCUCAGAGGGAAAGAAGCUUGUGUGGGAUCACACAGUUGUGACUUGUUGGGAACGUAACUUGAACUCAAGUUCUAAAACUACUAGAGCUCUUUCCACUACUUGGGUUGGCAGGGCCCCAAGACAUGGUAGCUGUACAGUAGAAUUCAGGAUUUAAAUAUUUAUUAUCCUUUCCUAACUACUGAAAAGACCCUUGUGGACAAGUAUACAAUGGCACUUUCACCAUUGGGCCGUAAUACAAGUCUAUAUUUGGGGCCAACACUGCAAAAUAUUUUUUUAAACUCCCUUCUCCAUUUCUAGGUGACUCAUUAGCUCCCUGAUGGAAGUAUUAACGAAGAGCUCAUUGACUCAUUGGGUCAUAGAUUUAGAGAACGACAGGACCUAAGGCAUCAUUAAUUUA